GGGCAUGGGGGCGUGCUACCAUGCAAGUCGAACGAAGCGUGCGGAUGGAAUUUCUUCGGAGAGGAAGCCUGCAUGACUGAGUGGCGGACGGGUGAGUAACGCGUGGGCAACCUGCCCUGCACAGGGGGACAACAGCCGGAAACGGCUGCUAAUACCGCAUAAGCGCACAGCUUCGCAUGGAGCGGUGUGAAAAGCUGCGGCGGUGCAGGAUGGGCCCGCGUCUGAUUAGCUGGUUGGCGGGGCAACGGCCCACCAAGGCGACGAUCAGUAGCCGGCCUGAGAGGGUGGACGGCCACAUUGGGACUGAGACACGGCCCAGACUCCUACGGGAGGCAGCAGUGGGGAAUAUUGCACAAUGGGGGAAACCCUGAUGCAGCGACGCCGCGUGAGCGAAGAAGUAUUUCGGUAUGUAAAGCUCUAUCAGCAGGGAAGAAAUUGACGGUACCUGAGUAAGAAGCUCCGGCUAAAUACGUGCCAGCAGCCGCGGUAAUACGUAUGGAGCAAGCGUUAUCCGGAUUUACUGGGUGUGAAGGGAGCGUAGGCGGCCUGCCAAGUCUGAUGUGAAAUACCGGGGCUCAACCCCGGGGCUGCAUUGGAAACUGGCAGGCUGGAGUGUCGGAGAGGCAGGCGGAAUUCCUAGUGUAGCGGUGAAAUGCGUAGAUAUUAGGAGGAACACCAGUGGCGAAGGCGGCCUGCUGGACGAUGACUGACGCUGAGGCUCGAAAGCGUGGGGAGCAAACAGGAUUAGAU
rnacentral:rRNA from 1 species